rnacentral:lncRNA from 1 species
UUGGUGUGCGCGUGGCUCUCUGGUCUUAGGCGCCGCACACGCUGCGUGAGGAGCCCAGGCCGCGGAGACUGCCUGUUAGGGUCGUGGGGAGACUGUCUGGAGGCCACUCCCCUGUGCGGCGUGUGCUAGGGGGCUUCUAUCCGGGGUAACUGGGCCUGGCCCAGUCUUGGUUGCCGGGCAUCGGCCUAACUCCAAACUUGAGCAUGUGCUGUUGGGUUAGGACUUACGAUUCUGGGUCUUAACGAUAUCUGGGUGUGUACAAUCCUGGAAUUGGCUCGGGCGAGAAGGGUGCCCGCCGGGUCAGCCUGGUAAUGAUAUAGAUGUAAUGGGGAUCCCACCUCCGGAUGCAUGAAACACUUAGCAAUUUGCAAAUUUUGGCCCUUAGAAGACGAGAGUAGGGAAGGAAGGUAACAUUAAGGCUGCAAGGUCAGUUGGUUACCUAGUACACCAUGCUUUGGGGCUUCCCAUGUUGGUUAGGAAUGGCAGGUAUUUCUGCCCUGUAUGACUGGAGUAAUCCAACCUUGUUGGUUCGUGGGAAAACAAGAUCUGGCUCUAAGUAUGUGUAGUUGUAACUCGCCAAAAUGACGAACACAAAAGGAAA